CCGGCGACCGGCGCACGGGUGAGUAACACGUAUGCAACCUGCCCGUCUCAGGGGGAUAAUCGUCGGAAACGGCGUCUAAUACCCCGUAUGAAGCUGGACGGCAUCGUCUGGUUUUGAAAGAAUAUCGGAGACGGAUGGGCAUGCGGCGCAUUAGCUAGUUGGCGUGGUAACGGCCCACCAAGGCGACGAUGCGUAGGGGUUCUGAGAGGAAGGUCCCCCACACUGGUACUGAGACACGGACCAGACUCCUACGGGAGGCAGCAG
rnacentral:rRNA from 1 species